rnacentral:rRNA from 1 species
GUAACGGAGGCGCCCAAAGGUUCCCUCAGAAUGGAUGGAAAUCAUUCGCAGAGUGUAAAGGCACAAGGGAGCUUGACUGCGAGACUGACAAGUCGCGCAGGGACGAAAGUCGGGCUUAGUGAUCCGGGGGUUCCGCAUGGAAGGGCCAUCGCUCAACGGAUAAAAGCUACCCCGGGGAUAACAGGCUUAUCUCCCCCAAGAGUCCACAUCGACGGGGAGGUUUGGCACCUCGAUGUCGGCUCGUCGCAUCCUGGG